GCUAGGAGUGAAGGAGUGGGAGAAGGAAGGACUGAGUCCAGAAGGGGGAGGGGCAGCGACAAGUCUGGGACAGGCAACAUCCCCAUGGUGACUAGAAGGCCUGAGGCAGGGAGAGAUUGACAGUGAAGGGUGAAAGGAGCUACGCCCCAGCCAAGCCACAGCCCGCCUGCCCCUGCGCUUGGCACUGAUAUUGACUGCCCUUUUGAGAGGAAGAAGGAUGUUAUGGACCAGAGAGGGGACAGAAAUGUGAAGCAAGGCAGCUGAAGCCAAGACAUCUACCAUGGCGACGUGGCUACACGCCUAGCUCUUCCAGCCAGCUCACACUGCUCUGUGGUAGAGAGAGACACCCUCCAUACUGGGAGAGCAAGGCUUCAUGCUCAGUGUUCCUGAACUCUCACUCCCAGGGGAACCCAGGGUACCCACCUUCUCCUGUAGCUCCUGCUUCUCCUUGUUGGACUCUUCGAGCUGAGCUUGGAGAUCAUUCAUCUGUGCCAUGUCCCGGGAGGCCUGGGAAAGGAGGGAAGAGGGGAGAGCGGGUCCCCCAGAAACAGAAAUUCAGCCUCUCCCCAUCAAGAGCCAGGACACCUAGACUGUGUCUCUCCAAGGAAGUGUCUAGUCAGGUGUGGAGGCAGAGGCGAAAGCAGAUGGAUCUCUAUGAGUUCAAGGCUUGCCCUGUCUACAGAUUCUUUCAAGGCUAAUGAGAAGGAAGAAAUUCUGCCCACAACAAAUGACCCAUCGUCCAGGUACACCAGCUAGACCAGCAUGCACUCUGCCCAUAUCAGCCCACCGGGAAGGACUCUCGAGUUGGUGACAGCCCUGACUUGGAUUUUGUUCUCCCUGGGGACGGUCCACUCUUGGGUCAUCUAGCUCUCCCAGCCUAGGGGUGGGGGAGGGGAAGAGACAGGCACCAGCAGCUUCAGGAAACGAAUGAAUCUAUUAGCCUGUAAUUCCAAACCAAAAUGACUGCGUUGGCUCCUUCUCUGCCCCAUCCAUCUUGUUACUGGGCUGUGGGGAGCUGGGGAAGCCUCCGCCAAGAAAUUUAUUAACUCAGAUUUAAAUAAAAUGGUAAUUUUAUAACAGCCUUUUUUAACAAAAUUAAGGCAUUUGAAUUACUCACCUGGAAACUGCUGAGGGGCACAAAUGUCACAAGAUAAAUCAAGCCUGUGAGAUUGGCAUCUCUCAGCGGCAGCAAGGGUAGCUAGGGGCCAUGAAGCCAACAGCUAAACAGCUCCUCCCCUGCCCCGUCCCUGGCCUGAUGAGGGAGGUUCGGGUGGCCACAUCCCAGGAGUGAACACUCAGCCCGAUGGAUGGAUGGGGCCGUGGGAGAGGUGGGGAAUUAAAAGGGAGGCAUUAAAUAAAAGCUCUAAUUAGCUG